UUCUUCUUUCUCUCUCUCGCUCGACCGAAACCGAAAACAGAGCAAAGGCUCUUCGGUCUCUCUCUACCUCCACCGGCCACCAAACGGCGUCGAACCACUUCCUUUUGCUUCGUCUCAGCCUUGCGCAGCUGCCAGAGGCAGCCUUGCACCGUGACACGGCCACCAGCGGCGGCGGGAAGCUCCGCCCGGUUUGAGCUCGUUUUGGAAACAAGCUUGAUAUCUCAAGCUACCGGUCACCAAUCCUCACCAAAAUCCAUCCACAAGCUCGCCUCAACUUCCUGAAAACUCCCAGAAGCAGCCUCACACGGCGGCGUGGCCCGUAGCAGUGGCUGCAAGUCAAACCCAACCAAGAACGAGACCGGAGCUAUCGAUCAAGAUAUCUCGAGCUGUAGUGCAUCGUUUUGAUUGAUUCUUUUUCCAGUGGGUUCCCCUUGAUGUUAUUAACAACUCUCUAGAAGGCAUCGAGGCCUGAAAUUGAAGCUUUGACGUCGAAAUCGAGCCUUGCCGGAUUCUGCAAAAUUCUGGAAUUUUUCCGACCACCGAAGCUUUCGAUCGGUAUAUCUCGAGCUACAGACCAUAUUUUUCUGUGAUUCUUGAACCAGUGAGUUCUUCUUGAGUUUCUUAACAACUCUUCAGAAGAAAUCGAAGCCUUAAAUUGACGUUUUUACGUCGAAUUGGAGCUCGCCGUUUUCUGCAGUUUCUCGCCGGUUUCUGGAAAAUUCCGGCCACCUUCAUACUGUUCAAGGUGAUCGACGGUUUGAUUUGGCGGACGAUUCGUGAAAUUGUAUUUUGAGCUGUUAAGAAGACGCAGCGGGAAUUUAGAGCGGGUAAUCCUACAGGACAGGAGAACCAGGACGGUGAUCGUGCGGUUAGAGCAAUGGUUAUAGUUUUACAGCAAUUGUAAUAGUGAGGCGAGUUAAGCUCAUUUGAGCAUUACAAUUUGAUUUGGUGGGAGUGUGCUGUAAUAAAUAACUUGAGGAUUUGGGUUAUUGUAAAUUUGAGAGUUGUGAAGUGUGGUUGUUUGUGAGAAAAAAAU